UUUCCCUUCAAUCCCAAAUAGAAUUCUCCGAUCCUCCCAAGUCCCACCAGCCACCGCUCCGAUCCUCUCCCACCGGCCACCGCUCUUUCUCUUCAGUUCUCGCUCCGGUCUGUUCUGGGGCUUAUUCUUCAGGUCUGUUUUGGGGCUUUUCCUCACCGUCGGAGAGAACACUAAACAAAGCUACUUACUUUCUGUACAGAGGAUUAGCCUGUGAUUCCAAGGAAUAAUUCCGAACUUUAUGAACGAAAUCUUUCCUCUUUAGGUAAAAUAUAACUCCAAUUAUUUUUUAUCAUCGUCUCCUCGUUCAUUGUUCCGGAAAUCUCGAUCUCACUGGAAUUAAAGAAGUUUUAUUAUUUUUACUAACCUAUAUAUGAAAUUAGUACUUUCUUAGUCAAAUUUCAACUUAUUUUCACCUUCCUCAUGCGCUAAUUUUAGUAUUGUGAUUCAGUGUUUGCUUCUGUGAGUUUAUUGUAUUGUGGCCUGUGGGUGUGAAUACUGUAUUGAUUUGAUUGAUUGCUUUCUUAUAUAAGUGGAUCGAUGUGAGUAAAGAUCCUUGCUUUUUCUCUUCGAUUUUAUUGAUUUGAUUCCAAUUUUUAUUGCUUUGAAUCUGAGCUAUAGCACACAUUUGAUGAUUCCUUACUUGAGUUAGGUUUGCUUUACAUAUAGAGUUCUCUCUCUACAUAUGUAUGUGUAUAAAUUGUACAUAGAAGGAAAUUUAUUAGAAUACUAUUGAAUAUAUUUGCAGGUUAAUUAAUUAUUUGGGCCAUAUAUUUAUAAGUAAGAAGAGUUUAGCCGGAUCAGAUCAAGCAAUGUUGUCAAAAAUACCCUUUUAGUUUCUGCAGCUUGAUGCCUUCUCUAUUCCCUUGUGUGCGUGUGUCCAUAUAGAUUAUAGAUAUGUAUAUGUAUGCAUCUAUAUAUUGAAGUUCAUUUUUUCUCUUUAUGUGUGGGUUAAGGGCGAGUGUUAUAUUUAUUUUCUUCAAAUUUUAACCACAAGUUACUGAGCUAGCAAUGGGGGAAAAUAAACUUGGUUUACUUUGAUCAAUGUUCUAAAAGGCGCUAGGUGGGAGUUGGGCGGCCGAGGGGAGCCUAGGCGGGAUUUUUUUAAAGCCAAUUUUAAUACUUUAUUUUACAUUUAUCCAAACAAAAUAAUAAUAUAAACCAAAACAAUCUAUAAUAAAGAUAAUAAAGGCCUUUUCUUAAAGUUCAAACACAUCCAUAUUGCUAAUGUCAAAGUUCAAACACAAACAUGCAAUUGUUCAAAGUUUAAACAUAUUUUUAACGUAUUAGUUUUAUUUAUAAACAUGAUUGCUAUUAAAUAAUAAAAUUUAAAAUUUCAAGAAUUUAAUUCAAUAUUAAAACUUAAGAAACUAAACAUAAAUUUAAGAAUUAUAAAAUUGAAUUAAACUAAAUAUUAUAAAUGUAUCAUCAUUUAUAUAAUUUGAAGUUGGUACAAGUUCAAAAAAUUACAACUAUAAUAAAAUUAUCCAUUUGACUUGAUAUUGUUCACUUUUUGUUGUGAUUUGAUAUGCUACAAUAUGGCAAAUCAUUAGAAAAAUAAAUAUAUUAAGAUUUGAUUUGGGUAGUUAUUAAAAUAAAAAAACUCUCUGCCUGGGACUCGCCUAAUUUUCUGGAGGGAUUUUUUUGCCGCCUUUAGCCUAGGUGAGGCGCCCGGGGAGCCUAGAGGCGCCAAGGGGGCCUAGGCGGGGAUUUUUAGAACAAUGUCUUUGAUUAUGUUUGUUGUUUGUGCCUGUGAUUUGAUUACUUUGUUUAUUUAUGUUUGAUGUCCUGGACCUAACUGAUUGAUUUUUGUGUUUCAUGUAAUUUGCAGUGAAUUAGUUAAAAUGGGAGAUGCAGGGAUUGCUUUGGUGGUGUUUCUUGGAUGUGAAUCCUAGUGAUCUUUCCUGGUUAGUUGUUACUGUAAGCUAUUAAGUACUAGAACACUAUAUUAUACUUUUCCAUCCCAUAAUUUUAUUUUAUUUUCAAAUAAUUUUGUUAUUGAACUUAUUCUAUUACGAUUUAGUUUUAAGGAUAAACUUUAUUUUAAGGGUCUAGGGGAAAUUUAAGUGGUGUUUGUUUACCUCUUAAUAUUUCUUAACAACUUCACAUCUAAUUCGGUCGGUAAGAGGUUUAAAGUUGUUUGAUAAAAUUUUGUUUGCCUCUUAUAGUCUCUUACUCGGUAAGAGGAAGACAUAAAUUCAAAUCAUUAAAAUUUGCCUCUUGAUGAAAAAUUUAAAUUUAUGGAGUUUCUAUAAAUAUUGUUCUACCUCUAUUCCAAAUUUUAAUAUCAUUAUUGAUUUUUGAAAAGUUAAUUUGAGAUAUUUUUAAAUUUAAAAUUAAUAUUUUUAAAUUUAAAAGUCAUUCAGAUGUUUUAUACUUUUUAGUUGUGUUACUCGGACUCAUGUGCGGGUGCGGGUACGAAUUUAGGUGUCGGACACGUGAAGUCAAAAAAUAGAGGAUACGCAGAUAUGGAUCCGAAUUUGGACACAGGUGCGGGGAUACGGUGUGUUAUGAUUUUUUAACAAUAAUGUUUCAAAUUAUAUCACUAAAGUUUUUUUGCUCUAGGGACUGAAGUGCAAAAAUAUAAAGAAAUAGGGGUUAAAAUGAAAAAAAACGAACUAUAGGGACUGAUAUGUAGUUUUUUAGGAGCUAUUUUGAACUUUCAAAAAACUAGAUGGACUAAAUUAAAUUUUUUAAAAAACUAUGGGGUACCUAAUUGUAAUUUUCCAUUGAUAUUUUAAAUCUAGAUCUGAUCUCACUAUCUCUUCUUUUUCUUCCUUCUCGACAUACGCUCCUUUCUUCUUCUUCUUCCUCACGGCUCUUCUUCUUCCUCCUCACGGCUCUUCUUCUUCCUCCUCUCGCGUUUCUUCUUCCCAAACAGCCGUAUCCGGAUUUAUGUGGCCGAAUCCUGUACGAAUUCCGCACCUGUACCCGUAUCGUGUCGUGUCGACACGGGUACUCUACCAAAAAAUGGCGAGUCCGAGUAACACAACUUUUUAGUUACCAAACAACUUUUUAAGUGUAGAU
rnacentral:lncRNA from 1 species